rnacentral:misc_RNA from 1 species
UUUCCGUAGGUGAACCUGCGGAAGGAUCAUUACAAGUCGGGUUGGGUGGGGUUUGGUGGGUGGUUUGGUGGUGGUGGUUGUAUGGGUUGUAUGGGUUGUAUGGUCGUGAGGUUGUACAAUCUGUAUAAACACAUCCCCCUUUCCCCCUCUCCCACCCACAUAUGUUCGGGGCUGCAAGGCUACCGCAACACAUUCACGCUUGUUUUGUUUGUCAGAGUAGGAUACAACACAAUAUUAGACAACUUUUAACAAUGGAUCUCUUGGCUCUU